rnacentral:lncRNA from 1 species
UGAAGGUUAACAUUUUACCAAUAGACCGAUGUUUUAAAAAUAGAUACAUACAAUGAUACCAAAAUCCAGCUUGGUUAACUGAAUUUCGAAAAUAAUUGGUCAAGAGAAAAACCAUCGAAUCACUAAUUCAGAAAAGAUCAUAUCAUGAGGUAGCACAAGAACUAAGAGAACUCCAAAUGUCUACACACUGACCAUGAUCAUCAACAGGUAACCAAAGGUAUCAAUCAAUCAAACAUAGCUCAAUCCCAAACUAGUUUUCAAACACUUGCAAGUCCAGUAAGAUUAACAAACACCAACCAGAAUAUUCAGCAAAAAAACAAUCCCCUCCCCCACCAUGGAUGCCUCACUGGUAAGUAAACUGACGAGCAUCAAACACUGGACAACGAUGGUCCAUCGCUCAUCCAAGGGUGUGGCCUAGUGGUCAAUCAAGUGGGUGAGAACCAAGAGGUCUCAGGUUCAAGUCCCAGCAGGGGCAAAAACCACUAGAUGAUUUCUUCCCAUCUAUCCAAGCCUUGGUGGAUAGAGUUACCUGGUACCCGUCGUUGGUGGGAGGUAGCAGAUAUCCCGUGGAAUUAGUCGAGGUGCGCGCAAGCUGGUCCGGACACCACAGUUAUUUUAAAAAAAAAAAGGAUGGUCCAUCGCAAUAUUACUGGCAUGCUCCAUCUACGUAAACUCUAUUCUCAUUAUUUAAAAUCUCUUUUCAAGCCUAGAUGUUCCAGCAUCACUUGCCAAAUUCAGCAACAUCGACAAUUAACUAGCUCUUUGACAGACCACUGUUCCGAACCGCGAAAAAUAACAAGAUUAAUGAUAUUGAUGGCCCACGUGUAUUCAGCCAACAUCAUUUGACUGAAUACAGACAGAUUGCUCCUUUCGACCAUCAUUGCAUCACAAACUGAAUACCAUGCUAAGUAGGGAAAUGAAAGAUGAUAAGCAAAGUGCAGAUCUUUGAAACUUAUCCAAACAAGUUAUUUAUGACAUUUUAUGCGCAAAUACAAAGGCCAUGCAAGUAAUCCUAAUCUUCUAUAUCAUCAUUCAGCAAUAGUAGCUAUGCUUGAUAAGGCAAAAAGAAGCUGAUUGCACCUUAGUGAUAAUAGUUGUGUUUAGAUUUGAGACCCUAAUUUCAAUACACCAGAGUACAGGAAUAAUAACUAGCCAAAUAACCCUGAAACAACACCAUAACUCAUGGGUGACAUGCAAAGGGUGCAAAAGGGAGGAGGAAGAAAUAUGUGGACUUAACAAGACUUGCCAUCACAAAUGACAUCAAACUAAAAAUAUCUGAAGAAAUGUUGCUCUACAAUUCGUGGCAACAGGAGUUGUGCUUGUUUGAUUCAGAGCUAAAGGACUGCAAAGCUGCAGUUGAUAGGGGAUUUUAAGAAAAAGCUCGGUUCAACAGCUUGACUUAUACCACUUAAAAAACAGUAAACAUCACAUUAUAUAACAAAUUACAUGCUAUGACGUUCAUUUUCACCAGAUGCUACAAACAAUCAACUCCACAUCAGAGGUUGAAUCCAGAGGCAUCAAACACAUAAUCUCAUUCAUUAGCUCAGCUUAGUAAAACAGGCUUCCUAGUAUAACAGCCAGCUAGAAUAUCUUUCAAGCAUGCUUACAGCAUCAAGCAUGAACGAACUAUCUCACUCCGAGGAUAAUAAGCAAUAGGUAUAUGACAUGUCUAAUAGUGUAAUUUCUACGAUGCUCAUGUACAUAAAUAAAGACCAUUGUCUAGGAAUUCCAAGACAGAACCAACUGAUCAUUUCAGAUAGUUCUACUCAGGGAUUAAAGCCAGAAUUGAGAAUAACAAUUAAGCAUCACUAAACUUAAGUCUUAUGAGGUUCUGUUACAAUAUUUUCCUUACAGGGUCAGCUCAUGUCCAUCAAUUUUAGUUUUUAAACGACAUAUGCUGGUAAAGAAAACAUCUCAGUAAUCUUUUUUUUGGGUGUUUCCUAGCAGCAUCAAUUCGUCAAAACAAAUAUCAAAUGCACCUAAUUUCAUUAGCAUGUUAAACUCGAGUUUCAAACACAAUAUGAAUUUGUUCUAGCAGAAAGUAAGAUGCACAAGAGACAAAAUGUUCUCCAUCCUUGCAAACAAAUGAAAAAACAAAGCACGAAACUGAAGCAAACUCGCAAAGGUCCACUAGGAUUGACUUAUAACAAGAUUUCUCCAACUGAACUAGGAUUCUAAAAGAUAAGAAAAAAGUAACCAAAAAGCUGCAUAUAUGACAAUGGAUUAAAAAUACUGUGUGACAGGGACCAGACCAUUUGAAGGGAAAUUGCUCCGCUAUUGGUUGAUCACUCGAUAAUUUUCUGAAUGACACCAGCUCCAACAGUCUUUCCUCCUUCCCUGAUGGCAAAUCUCAUCCCUUGCUCACAAGCCACCGGCAUAAUGAGCUCAACCACCAAGUUCACACGAUCACCAGGCAUGACCAUCUUAGAUUCCUCUCCUUUAUCAGUCGUAAUGGAAGUAACCUUUCCGGUCACAUCAGUAGUCCUCAUGUAAAACUGAGGCCUGUACCCUGAAAAGAAGGGGGAAUGCCUACCACCCUCCUCCUUCUUCAACACAUACACAAUAGCUUCAAACUUGGUGUGAGGGGUAAUUGUUCCGGGUUUUGCCAACACCAUUCCUCUCUGAAUAUCAAUCUUUUGAAUACCUCUCAACAACAACCCCACAUUGUCUCCAGCCAUUGCUUCAUCCAAAAUCUUUUGAAACAUCUCAACACCCGUCACGGUAGUACUCCUAGUGUCCUUCAAACCUACAAUAUCAACAGUGUCUCCAAUCCUAACAGUCCCUCUCUCUACCCUCCCCGUCGCCACAGUACCUCUACCAGUAAUGGAAAACACAUCUUCAAUAGCCAUCAAGAAAGGCAAUUCAGUUUGCCUAACUGGAAUAGGAAUAUAACUAUCAACAGCGUCCAUCAACUCAUAUAUCUUAUCAACCCAUUGAUUUUCACCUCUCUUAAUACUAGGAUUAGCCAUCAAAGCCUCUAAAGCCAAAAGAGCAGAGCCAGAAAUAAUAGGAAUAUCAUCACCAGGAAACUCAUAACUUGACAAUAACUCUCUUACCUCCAACUCAACAAGCUGAAGCAGCUCCUCAUCAUCAACCUGAUCUUGUUUGUUCAAGAACACAACCAUGUUGGGGACACCUACUUGCUUAGCAAGCAAAAUGUGUUCCUUAGUCUGUGGCAUGGGACCAUCAGCACCUGAACAAACAAGAAUAGCGCCGUCCAUUUGGGCAGCACCGGUAAUCAUAUUCUUGACAUAAUCAGCGUGACCAGGGCAAUCCACGUGGGCGUAGUGACGGUUCUCAGUCUCGUACUCAACAGUAGCAGUGUUAAUAGUAAUACCACGAGCACGCUCUUCUGGGGCGGCAUCAAUUUCGUCGUAUUUCUUAGGGGCGGAGUUUCCCAUAGAAGCAAGAGCCAUGGUUAAAGCAGCGGUGAGAGUAGUCUUUCCGUGGUCAACAUGGCCAAUAGUACCGAUGUUGACAUGGGGUUUUUUCCGCUCGAAUUUGCCACGGGCAGCGCGGACAGUAAACCGGCGGUGGCGAUGGGUGGCAGUAGAAGAAGGGGUGGCGGGUGAGUGGAGGAAAAGGGUGGAACAAUUAGGGGUAAAGGAAGAGGAUAGGAUAAGCUUAGAGGGUUUAGUGGAGGAAGGAAGAAGAGGAUUGGUGGAGUUGGAUGAUACAAGCUUAGUGGAGGAGGUGGCGGUGGCUGCUGAAAUUGAAGCCAUGGCCGGAGAUUGAAGUUGGGAGAGAAAAGAGAGUUAAGGAUAGAGCGAGUGAGAAUUGGGAUUUGAAAGAAAAUGAGGAGAAGGGGAUAAUAGUGUUAUAUCCCUUGGAAGGAAAAAAUAGGGCCGCUCAUAUACUCAUUUUGGGGGGAUUUUUCUAUCCAUUUCUACCUAUUUGGAUAACACUACGCUGCGGCAA